AGAGAUUUCAUUAUUACAUUAGAAAUUAAGAAUUUUUCAAUCUUAAAUGUGUGUUGCAUAUAGAAAAAGAUGUGGAGGAAGUAGCAUUUAAGAAGGUUGUGGGAGGGUUGUCUGAAGGUCUAAAAAAACAAGUAUGAUAAUUGUCUAAGAUUUCCUAAAAAUGACAACUCUAAUAUUUUAUUUUUUAAUUUGGAGUGAAUUAAUUACAUAUUAAUUAAUAUAAAUAAAUAUAAAUUACAUAAAAAAUUAAUUUUGAUUAAGGGUUUUUUUUUUUUAAGUUUGAAU
rnacentral:lncRNA from 1 species